rnacentral:rRNA from 1 species
UACGGGGGGGUGCGAGCGUUUGUCCGGAAUCACUGGGCUUAAAGGGCGCGUAGGCGGACUCGCCAGUCUGUGGUGAAAGCCCCCAGCUUAACUGGGGAAGUGCCGUGGAUACUGCGAGUCUGGAGGAGGGUAGGGGCAUCUGGAACGCUGGGUGGAGCGGUGAAAUGCGUUGAUAUCCAGCGGAACUCCGGUGGCGAAGGCGAGGUGCUGGACCCUUUCUGACGCUGAGGCGCGAAAGCCAGGGGAGCAAACGGG